AUGGAGACAUGGCAUAAAGCCAGGGAGUAAGGGACAUGAACUUGUCAGACUAUAACUUGAACUGAGUUACAUCUCAUUUU
rfam:Mesocricetus auratus contig017405, whole genome shotgun sequence.